rnacentral:lncRNA from 1 species
AAUAUAUAAAAUUGAGAAUGGAAAUGGGGAAUGUGUCAAAGAGACAACAACCCGACCAAAUAAAAAACAACAACAGCCAAGGGUCACCAACAGGUCUUCAAUGUAGCGAGAAAUUCCCGCACCCGGAGGCGUCCUUCAGCUGGCCCCUAAACAAAUAUAUACUAGUCCAGUGAUAUUGAACGCCAUACUAAUUUCCAAAUUGUACACAAGAAACUAAAAUUAAAAUAAUACAAGACUAACAAAGGCCAGAGGCUCCUGACUUGGGACAGGCGCAAAAAUGCGGCGGGGUUAAACAUGUUUGUGAGAUCUCAACCCUCCCCCUAUACCUCUAACCAAUGUAGUAAAGUAAACGCAUAACAAUACGCACAUUAAAAUUCAGUUCAAGAGAAAUCCGAGUCUGAUGUCAGAAGAUGUAACCAAAGAAAAUAAAGAAAAUGACAAUAAUACAUAAAUAACAACAGACUACUAGCAGUUAACUGACAUGCCAGCUCCAGACUUCAAUUAAACUGACUGAAAGAUUAUGAUUUCAUCAUAUGAACAUCAGGC